GCGUUGUCCGGAUUUAUUGGGCGUAAAGAGCUCGUAGGCGGCUGUCCACGUCGGAUGUGAAAGCUCGGGGCUCAACCCUGAGAGGCCAUUCGAUACGGGACGGCUAGAGGCAGGUAGGGGAGAUCGGAAUUCCUGGUGUAGCGGUGAAAUGCGCAGAUAUCAGGAGGAACACCGGUGGCGAAGGCGGAUCUCUGGGCCUUGCCUGACGCUGAGGAGCGAAAGCUGG
rnacentral:rRNA from 1 species